rnacentral:lncRNA from 1 species
GACCAUGCAAACUAACAACAGCAGAUGUCUGGAGCGGAUCAAUUCUCGCAGCUCUGUCAUCCAUACCAGACGGUGUUCUCUGUUUGUUGAUCACACCUAAUUCAUUGAAGCAAUGAAGAAAUUAUGAUGCAAAAAAUACAAACAGGUCAAGUGAUUGAAACAUCAAACCAAUGUAUAAACACAACAGAUGACAGUAAGAAGGGGAAUAGAAAUUCAAAGAUCCCACCAGACCUUAACAGCUGACUCAGGAACCUCGCCGUAUCCCAUAAGGCGCUGAGCAUGCCAACCUUGCAUUGCACGUGCUGCCGCAUCCCUCCGCGCCCUACCUGAGCCUGGAGCCUGAUAAACAGCGGUCUGCAAAAGAAAUUCGUCAUUUCAACACUUUCCUUGCUUUUCAUUUUGCCGGAGAUAACCAGCAGAAGAUUCAAGGAACUCUAGACAAGAGGCUUUACAGUUUGAGGGUUUUAGUGACACAACACCCACACCCAUCUGCAUUUAUCAGCAUGGCCAGCGAUGGAUGUGAUAUCCAGCAUUGAGACACAAGCCAAUGACUUAUCUCUAAUUUGGAUGUUGUUGCCAAUUGUCAGUUUCAAAGAAACUAUUUUAAAUGCAACAUAAUAAAUUUUUCAUUUCUAGGUAUUCGCUGGCGUUUGUAAAAUGUAGGCCCUCUAGCACACAUGAAAGUUCAUAGUAUGUUCCCUUAUAUUGAAUUACAAAUGCAUUAA